rnacentral:rRNA from 1 species
GAUGAACGCUGGCGGCGUGCCUAAUACAUGCAAGUCGAGCGAACAGAUGAGGAGCUUGCUCCUCUGACGUUAGCGGCGGACGGGUGAGUAACACGUGGAUAACCUACCUAUAAGACUGGGAUAACUUCGGGAAACCGGAGCUAAUACCGGAUAAUAUAUUGAACCGCAUGGUUCAAUAGUGAAAGACGGUUUUGCUGUCACUUAUAGAUGGAUCCGCGCCGCAUUAGCUAGUUGGUAAGGUAACGGCUUACCAAGGCAACGAUGCGUAGCCGACCUGGGAGGGUGAUCGGCCACACUGGAACUGAGACACGGUCCAGACUCCUACGGGAGGCAGCAGUAGGGAAUCUUCCGCAAUGGGCGAAAGCCUGACGGAGCAACGCCGCGUGAGUGAUGAAGGUCUUCGGAUCGUAAAACUCUGUUAUUAGGGAAGAACAAAUGUGUAAGUAACUAUGCACGUCUUGAUGGUACCUAAUCAGAAAGCCACGGCUAACUACGUG